CAGUCGCCGCGGUAACACAGAGGGUGCGAGCGUUAAUCGGAUUUACUGGGCGUAAAGCGUGCGUAGGCGGCUUUUUAAGUCGGAUGUGAAAUCCCUGAGCUUAACUUAGGAAUUGCAUUCGAUACUGGGAAGCUAGAGUAUGGGAGAGGAUGGUAGAAUUCCAGGUGUAGCGGUGAAAUGCGUAGAGAUCUGGAGGAAUACCGAUGGCGAAGGCAGCCAUCUGGCCUAAUACUGACGCUGAGGUACGAAAGCAUGGGGAGCAAACAGGAUUAGAUACCCGGGUAGUCCCUGUCUCUUAUAA
rnacentral:rRNA from 1 species